GCGCGCGCGGUGACAGAAGAGAGUGAGCACACGGCCGGGCGGGACGGCACCCGCCGGAUGGUGCCGUCACGGCCGCGUGCUCACUGCUCUAUCUGUCACCAGCUGCUUCU
rnacentral:pre_miRNA from 1 species